UACAGAGGUCCCAAGCGUUGUUCGGAUUUACUGGGCGUAAAGGGUGCGUAGGCGGUUGGAUAAGUCUGAUGUGAAAGCUCGCGGCUUAACCGCGAAAUGGCAUUGGAUACUGUUCGGCUUGAGAGUUGGAGGGGGGGCUGGAAUGCUCGGUGUAGCAGUGAAAUGCGUAGAUAUCGAGCGGAACACCAGUGGCGAAGGCGAGCCCCUAGACAGCUUCUGACGCUGAGGCACGAAAGCCAGGGGAGCAAACGGG
rnacentral:rRNA from 1 species